AUCUUCGGGGUAAGGUGAAAUUCCUAACCGGCGGUGAGGUUUCUGAUCGCAGAAACUGCAGCCCGCGACUCGCUUGUGGCUCUAUCGGCCGCGCGCGACUGACUUGGUGCGAUUCCAAGGCCGACGGUAAAGUCCGGAUGGGAGAAGAU
rnacentral:ncRNA from 1 species